rnacentral:lncRNA from 1 species
CUCUUAAACUAUCCAAGUAAAUUAAAAUGAAUAUUUUCUGACUUUCCACUUUACAUUUCUCACUUAAAUUCCUAAGGUUACACUUUUUCAAUUGUCUGAUUCCUGUUUUUCACAACUUAAUCCCAUCUAUGUUUUAAACCCUGUGUUAUGAUGCUAUUAUUCUUGAUUUAAACAAAAAUUUGUCUUCAAUGAUAUUUUGCUAAGGAUUAAGCAUAAUACAUACAUAUAAGUACCUAAUCAUUUACCAUUUCAGUAUGUUCUUCAUUUUUUCCUUUAUAUUUAAAUCUAUCCAUUACUGCUUCCCUUUAUCCUGAAGAGGACCACUGUUUGCUUCUCUUACAGUGUAGUUUCUUGGUUUGAUACUUUUGGGAACUCAUACUUUUAUUCAUUUCAAAUUCAGAUUUGACUAGGUUUUAGAAUUUUUCAGCACAAUAAAUGUAUCUUAAAGUUUACAUUUAGAAAUUUCAAGAUUAGUUUAGCUGCUCUAUGGUAUCAAAGAUUCAUGUUUCAUCUGAAUUUCAGUUCUACAAUCCUUGGCAUUGGCUUUGUAAUUGUAUGAGCUCUAGAUGUCUGUUAUAGUGCCAAAAAUUAUGGCUUCAAGGCAUGAAGUGGGUAAGAAAGGUUCUCCAGCUGCAUUUUUCUAUUUUCCUCUGAAGUAUAAAAAACUUUUCCAGAAGCCCUUACAGCAAAUUUCCACUUAUAAUUCACAGACUAGAACAGAGCUUCGUAGUCAACACUGACUGUAAAUGAAGCUGGAAAACUGAGUAUGUGACUUUCCACUCCUGCUGUACAAUGAGAGAUAUACAAUGAGAGAGAAUGUGUUCAAUAUGGAUUCAAGGCCAGUAAUAAAUAGGCUUAGUUUUAAUAGGAAAAAAACUCAGAAAUAAUCUCAGAGAUUAUGUUGCCAGUGCUAGUGGGAACUUAAUAGGAUACAAGAUAUCAAUAGUAGCUCUAUUAUGCCAGUUUAGUUAAGUUGACUCAUCAAGACCCAUAGUAAUCACAUCAGAAAAGCAAAGUAUCUGCUUAUUCUAUACCAUAUCUUCUCAUUUGCUUCUAUUUUCUCAAUGAGUCUUAUUUUAGUCAACUUUUUCACUGCAAUGAUCAAAAGACCCACCAGGAACAACAUAAAAGAGGAAGACUUUAUUUGGGGUUCAUGGUUUCAGAACUGUCAAUCCAUAGAAGGUCAACUUUAUUGCUGUGGACACAAGGCAGAGAAUCAUGGAAGAAGGAUGUGGCCAAAGAAAGUAGCUCAGAAUAUGGUCAAGAUAAAGCAGACAAAGAGCACCACUCAUCAGGGACAAAAUAAAAUCCCCAAAGGCUGCUCCCAGUGAUUCAUCUCCUCCAGACAUACCCUACUUGCCUCUAGUUACCACACAGUUAAUCCCUAUCAGGAGAUCAAUCUACUGACUGGGUUCCAACUUUCAUCAUUGAAUUAUUUAACCUCUAAAGUUUCUUGCCUUGUCUCACUCAUGAGUUUUUUGGAAAAUACCUCAGAUCUAAACCAUAAUAACUAUCAACUGAUUUAAUCUUCUUUUUUUUCCAGCCAUAUGAACUCUAUUUUCUUAGUUCUUUUGUGCCUACAAGUUUCCACUCACUACCUUCCAUCCCUGGGUCUUUCAUGUUCUGCUCUCAUUAUGAAUUUUUUUUUUCUCUCUCAAUAUUAAUGUUAAGAAUAUCUGAGAAACAAGGGUGUGUUAGAAUUUUCAGAUUCCAUCCAACAUAGGGUGUCUGUGAUUCACAGAUCUCUCCAGCCAAGUUAUAUUACAGCUAGCAAUAUACCUUGCUUUGUGAUUGGUGUUGUUUGUGUUUUGUUCAGUUGCAAUUAAGGUAGUAGGACCAUAUGGUACAAAGGAGUUUUCUUAGUUGUUUUACUCUGAACAAGAUUUUGAUUAUAGAAAAGUGACAUUAAUUCUCUAUGAACAAAGGUCCUCCAUGAUUUUGUCACAACUUUUUCUUCUGGCACUUCUUCCAAUUACUUAUUUUAACAUGUUUUCUAUGCUACCCAUAUUAGCUGCUGCAACACCAUAGAAAUGCUGUUUUUAUAUUACUUAAUCUUAUACUUGACAUGUUAUUUAUAUUCUUUUUGUACACUUAAAAUCUUUUCUAUAUUUUAAGAAAAUCUACUUUCAUAAUCUAUUUGUGAUUUUAUUAAAGUCAUUUUGAAAAUAGUGAGAUAGCAUGAUGUGUUCAAAUUUUGAUCAUCAUGUGUACAAAUGUCAAACUUCUGAUUCUGAGGUCUUUCAGAGCAACAUUUUGUGUGUCUCAUAAUUAAAGAAAUUGGCAUAUAGUAUAUGUUUUGAUAUUUACCUACUUAAAUCUCAAAUAUAGAUUAUAUUAACAAGUGAAUUCAAAAUAUCAGUAUUACUAUAUUAUUUAAUCUAUACUCAAUCAGUGUAUGGCUCAUCAACCUAUAAAAUGUUAAAUUCUUUUAAAAAGGUGGAUUAAUGUGAAAGUUACAAGUUGUGUAUAUAUUGUCUGCAUUGUCUUUACAAUUGAUUGAUUAACUAUAUAAUUAAAUAUUCUUACUUUGAUUUUUUUGGAGGGGUAGUGGGGACUGAACUCAGGGGCACUUGACUAUUGAGUAAUCACAUCCCCAGCCAUAUUUUGUAUUUUAUUUAGAUACAGGGUCUCAUUGAGUUGCGUAGUGCCUCCCUUUUGUUGGGGCUGUUUAUAAUUCUCCAUACUCUUGCCUCAGCCUCUUGAGUUGCUGAGAUUAUAGGUGUGCACCUAGCCCAUACUUAGUUUGAUUUUUAAUCUUAAAUUUACAGAUAAUUGUGUAUGUGUCUGCAUGUUGAAUUUGACAAGUAAAAAGAUUCUGAUAUUGAAUGCAAAAAUGUGUUUAGGGGCAUUUUUUGAUACCCAAGUAAUAGGACCCUUAGAUAUCUUAGUACCUUCAUCAAGUAUGUUGGCAAGAGUGGGAGUAAGGCCACAACCAGGAAGAAUUGAUAUGUGAUGACAGAUUAGAAC